GGUCAUUUGCCCAUUUUUAAAAAGGGGUGGGUGGGACGUUUUCAGACAGCUAUACAAAAUAAGCCCUGCUUGCACCAAACCCUUAACAUAAACAUAUCAAGCACAAGCUUAGCAGCUGCAUAGAAGUCAGCAUACAAAGAGUGGAAAGGCUUUUGAACUCAUGUUUCCAAAUUGGAUGGAUCUGCAGCGCUCGUAUUGGUGGCGGAUGAGGGGUAGACAGGAUCAAGCAUACUUCACAGGUCUCAUUAUGGACUUUCCAAGAAAUGGAGAAAUACAAACAAUAUUCUUAAACCAUCAUUCCUCUCCAAGUGAAAGCUUUAUGACUUUGGCUGAGAUGACUCUUUGCUACAAGCAAAAGGCUAGGAGGUUUGUCCCAGCCGAAAUUUCUACUGGAGCAACUGCUGCUGUUGGUAGACCUCCUAUGAGAGCCACGGACAGUAUGUCUUCCCUCAGAUGUUGUACCUUUUUCAUCUUGUUUCGCUAUAAUUUUAUUCAACAAUAUGAUUUGGAAAAAAUGUCCAUAAAUUCCUAUUUCAAAAUUCUGGGGAAACUUCUUGCUGUGCUUUAAUGCACUAGCAAACGUAGGCAGAUGUGUCUUUCUGUGAAACGUUAUGUCUAUAGUGUGUAGUAUUACGCACAGUUGCUGCGAUCCCAGGGACCUCUUCUCUGUACUCUGGUCUGAUUUGGAGCCAGCGCUUUCUCUGGCAUUACACUGCAAUUAUUUAUAUCCACAAAUGUGAGUGUUAAUGACAAGCUGUUCAUUUGCAAUUGCGAUCGUCUAGUGUGCCUCUAAAUGAGAGCGACUUCAGACACAAACAGUGCACAUAGAAGGUACUUAUUCGUAUUUGAGGAAUUUUUUUUGACAGAUAACCUUUCGUUCUUGCUUUAAAAGAAAUUCUUUGCAGUUCCUAAAAUAAUUUGACUGCAUUCAUUGACCAGAAUGUUUCUGUGGGAUACCCGAAGGCACAAUGUUUUUAAAUGUUCAUUAACU
ensembl:lncRNA